UUACGGCCACAUCACGUUGAAACAUCGUUUCCUGUAUGAUCACCGAAGUUAAGCAACGUCGAUCCUGUGUAGUGUCUAGAUGGGUGACCACUUGGGAAUGCCAAGUGCUGGAAG